UACGUAGGGUGCAAGCGUUGUCCGGAAUUAUUGGGCGUAAAGAGCGUGUAGGCGGCCCGGUUAGUCCGCUGUGAAAGUCCAGGGCUCAACCCUGGACUUGCAGUGGGUACGGGCAGACUAGAGUGUGGUAGGGGAGACUGGAAUUCCUGGUGUAGCGGUGAAAUGCGCAGAUAUCAGGAGGAACACCGAUGGCGAAGGCAGGUCUCUGGGCCACUACUGACGCUGAGAAGCGAAAGCAUGGGGAGCGAACAGG
rnacentral:rRNA from 1 species